AUUUUCCAUAGGGAGAAAACUCCUCAAAAUGUCACACACAUAAGGAGAAUAAAAUAAGUUGGUGGUAAGAUUUUGUAGAUAAUGUCAAACAUUAUCUAUAUGGUAUCCAAUUUCAAAUCAGAUUUGAACAUACCAUAAAAUCAGAUUUUUAUCCAUUCUUGGAUAUGAGAUAGAGAGGGUGAAGAGCUCUUUUGCAUGGAGAAAGUUCAUGCAAAAAAUCCUUGUGCAAGAUGAAGAAUGGAAUCCAAGUUUGGUGGCGC
rnacentral:lncRNA from 1 species